rnacentral:pre_miRNA from 1 species
CAAGUACUCCCUCCGUCCGGAAUUACUUGUCAUCAAAAUGGAUGUGUCUAGAACUAAAAUACAUCUAGAUACAUCCAUUUCAAUGACAAGUAUUUUCGAACAGAGGGAGUACAAA